rnacentral:rRNA from 1 species
GAUGAACGCUGGCGGCGUGCCUAAUACAUGCAAGUCGAGCGAACAGACGAGGAGCUUGCUCCUUUGACGUUAGCGGCGGACGGGUGAGUAACACGUGGGUAACCUACCUAUAAGACUGGGAUAACUUCGGGAAACCGGAGCUAAUACCGGAUAAUAUUUCGAACCGCAUGGUUCGAUAGUGAAAGAUGGCUUUGCUAUCACUUAUAGAUGGACCUGCGCCGUAUUAGCUAGUUGGUAAGGUAACGGCUUACCAAGGCAACGAUACGUAGCCGACCUGAGAGGGUGAUCGGCCACACUGGAACUGAGACACGGUCCAGACUCCUACGGGAGGCAGCAGUAGGGAAUCUUCCGCAAUGGGCGAAAGCCUGACGGAGCAACGCCGCGUGAGUGAUGAAGGUCUUCGGAUCGUAAAACUCUGUUAGUAGGGAAGAACAAACGUGUAAGUAACUGUGCACGUCUUGACGGUACCUAAUCAGAAAGCCACGGCUAACUACGUG